UUAGAGAUAACACUCAUAAAGUUUUCAAUAUCAUGCUUUUAAAGUUAUAGCAGAGUCGCAAAUCGAGUCGCAAUGAUCGUAAACGUUAAUUUUCUUCAAUCUUUUGUAGAUUCUAAAUUUAUCGGGAAUAGAUUUGCAAGUUUUAUUUUGUACUCUCCUUUUCUCUCUUCUAGGGUUUCAACAGCAGUGACAACCGUCAUCCCCCUCCUCCGCCUUAAUUUGCCGCUUUGAAAUCAUCAUCACUGUCGUACUUCAACUGAGCAGGUGAUUCAGCUCUCGCGGUUGCGAAUCAUCUAAACUCAACUAAUUUUCUUUUCCCGCAGAGUCUUGAUGCUCUGCUGAGGAAGAAGGUCCAUUGCAAUUCCAGCACCGGUUUCACUGCUCCUAGAAGGCGAGCUUUAUUUCUCAAGAACAAUUAUAUCACAUUCUGCUACAAUGAGAGCAUGUCCAUGAUUUCGGUUUCUUUUGUUAUGAUCCUGCAGCAAAUUCAGUAUCUGAACUAUAAAGAGAUCCCUCUUGCCCUUGAAGCUGAAUGCAUUGGAUUGGAAAUUCGUGUAGUUAGCAAUGAUAGUCGCGAGAAGGGAUGGCUAUAAAGACUUUAAUACGUUCUACAUUCAGGCAGCUUCUGGACUAAGGGUGGUUCUAGCGGUUCACCGGUGAUUGAUCGGGUAGGCAGAUCUGUGGUCUUAAAUGCUGAAGCAAAACAUCAUCUUCAACAUCAGCCUAUUUUUGACCUUUAGAGCGAAUAAUAUGAUGCACUAGAGCAAUACAUCAUGAGUACACAAACUCCAUCAGCACCAUCUCCUCUUGCCAACAAUCUUGGUUGAAUUUGAGUUGUGAGCGACAAGGAUGCUUAAGAGAAUGUCAUUGUUAUCCAGCGCAUUAGUGAGAUACAUUCUGAAAAUCGGAACCAACAUAAGGAUAUGCAUACUGCGGGGCCAAAAAGUUUUGCUAGAAUAAGAAAAAAAUUGCAAGAUGAAAAAGGAGGAUAAGGCUGAUCCGACUUUGACGAAAAUGUUCAUUGCCACAGACAAGAGAAAAGCGGGCCGUUCUUACAAGGAAUCAAGGGAAGACACAACUAGCAAAAUUUCCAAAUUUUGAUUGAAAGAGCUCAAUUUUGAUAGAUUUUAUGAAGAUAUUUGUGGAAAUGAUUCCGUAAAGAAAAGGCGUUCAAUGUUUUGUAGUAUAAUCGUUAUCUUUUUGUGAUGUAAUGGAUUGAUGGGAUAUUUUUAGACUUUGAAUGUUAUGAAUAUUUUUCGUCUUCUAAUUUUAGUGAAUAUUUUAUGUUAUCCCAUUUUAGUAAAUGUUUUCCGUUUUUAAAUUUAGUGACUAAAUUUUCCUCUUUUAAUUCUUGUUCUCUAAAUAUAAAGUGUUGCAUAUUCUAUAUAAACCGUUAUUUAAAGUUUUAGUCAAACCAUUGCAUCAGUAUAUAUAACUGUUGCCUAAAGUACUAAUCAAAUUGUUGCCUUAUAAAAAUAAAUGUUGCCUAAAGUACUAUACAAAUCGUUGCCUUAUUAUAAAAAUUAAUGUUGCCUAAAGUACUAUACAAACCGUUGCCUUAAAAAAAUAAAUGUUGCCUAAAAUGCAUUACAAAACUGUUACAGUAGAUGUUUGAAACCGUUGCUUUUGUUAUAAAUUGCAGCGCUUUUAUUUAUAUUACAAUAGUAUAAAAAAAACUGUUGCAAUAGCUAUUAAAACCUACUGCAGCGGCCGCAAAUGUAGCCGAUUGAAAAGC